UACGAAGGGGGCUAGCGUUGUUCGGAAUCACUGGGCGUAAAGCGCACGUAGGCGGAUUCUUAAGUCAGGGGUGAAAUCCCGGGGCUCAACCUCGGAACUGCCUUUGAUACUGGGGAUCUUGAGUUCGGGAGAGGUGAGUGGAACUGCGAGUGUAGAGGUGAAAUUCGUAGAUAUUCGCAAGAACACCAGUGGCGAAGGCGGCUCACUGGCCCGAUACUGACGCUGAGGUGCGAAAGCGUGGGGAGCAAACAGG
rnacentral:rRNA from 1 species